CCUUUCUGGGCUCUGCCUGAAGUGUCUCCUAUUUAUUUAUUUUGCUUUAUGUUAUUUUUUGAGACAGGUUCUGGCUCUAUUGCCCAGGCUGGAGUGCAGUGGCGUGAUCUCAGCUCACUGCAACCUCUGCCUCACAGGUUCAAAGGAUUCUCCUGCCUCAGCCUCCUGAGUACCUGGGAUUACAGGCAUGCACCACUAUGCCCGGCUAAUUUUUGUAUUUUUUAUAGAGUUGGGGUUUCGCCAUGUUGACCAGGCUGGUUUUGAACUCCUGGCCUCAAGCAAUUCACUGGCCUUGGCAUCCCAAAGUACUGGAAUUACACCUGGCUAAGCCUCUUCUAUUUAAAAAUAGAAAUAAAAGAAAAAAAAAACAGAUCAAAACCAAAAGUUAUAGUGAGAGUGGACAAGCCCUGGACAACAGCAGGCAUGAGGACUUACAGCCCACAUGCUCAGCCACCAGGUGCAAUCUCCAACAUGUGCGGGCUUUGGGAAAACACAAUCGGGCAAGUGAAGUUUGUUGCAGACAAGUUCUUCUUCCCCUCUGCCACAACCUCCUCCAAGGCAUAGCAGCAAAUCAGCCUUUCAGAAUAUUGCAGGAUCAGCAAUGAAAUUCCCUUUGCCAGAGAAAUGGACAAACAAGGAAGCAACAAUGGUGAUGGUGGAAGUGUUCUUCAAGUCUAAGUUUGGGUUCUAGAAACAUCUGGCCAAAUAACGUCUUUCACAACUAAAAUAGAAUAUAAAGAAGCCAUUUGACCUGCCUCAGUUAUCAUGGUCAUCAUGACAAGCUGCAGCAGGACAAAUCAGCUUAACAAUUUCGGAAACUGCCAGAAAUGCUAUUUGGAUUAAUUUUUAUUUGGGAGUUGGCUAAAACUGGUCACAUCCCCAAAUACCUCAAGAUAAACAACAUAGCAUUAUCAUACAAAUCUAUAUUCACCAAAUUAGGUUAAAAUAGGCUGUUUUGAGAAGGUUGAAUUUUUUUAUGGGGAUUAUUCCCAAAAUACGUUUAGACACAAGAAGUUCAACUUUUCUUUUUUCCAUAUUUGAUGUCAAUCAAACUAAUUACUACAUGUUUGGAAUUGCAUUAAUUGUAUUCUUCAGUUACCUAUAAAAUUUAAUUAUCAUGUCUUUAUGGAAAUUUUAAUAUCAGAUAUAAAGAAUGGCAUAUUUAAAAUGACAUUUUAAUACUUUAUAAGAAGCAACAGAAAUUCGACUUCCAAAGCACCUCUCAGUACUACCAUUGGAGUACAUCUAUAUUUUUCUGUCAGAAUACUAUCCAAAGCAAGCAUAAGUAAUCCUUAUUUUCACGAUACAUUGAUGCUCAAAAGUUGUGUGUUCAGCAUGUCUACAAAGUAAAUUACCGUAUAUUUGAAACAGCAGACUAAAACUGAAGUAACAUCUGGAAAAAAUUGCCCUAAUUGCUAGCCCCUAAAUUCAUCUGACCUUGACACUCUCAUCUGAAUUUAAAAGUGUUUUAAAUUCUUAGCCAAUCAAUUCAAGCCAGAACUGAAUUCAUAUGUCUUCAGAAACUGCUAAUCUAGAACAAUGUAACUAGAAUAGAUUCCUGAUCAAACUUUGGUUUUGUUCAGGUAUCCACUCAUUUCCUAGGUGACCCAGAGGCCACAACUCACAACUCCACCCCUUCCCGUGGCUGGUCCAGGCUGUGCAGAUCUUGUAGUCACAAAGUCCUGGCAAUGGGCUGGGGGUGGGAUCUGACCUAGUGCUGACCAACAUGUCAAAAACAGAUGGCUGCAGAACCCUCUGGAAAAGCUUCCCUCAUUCUUAAGGAAUCCUGUGAAGAGAUGGUCUGUUUCUGUCCUGUUCCCUGGAUGUCAAAUGUCUGGGUUUGAGACCCAGAACUCCUGAAGCCAUCUCACAACUACAAGGGGAGCAGAUGUAGCCACUGAGGAUGGCCAAGCAGAGGGAGGGAGGACCUUUCCUGCCAGCAUCGCCAGCGGCUGAAUCACAGCCCAGAACCCCACAGCACCCUAAACGUCCUCUUAACAAAUGUAAUACGUUGUCUUACUGUUUGUGCCUGUGUGAAAAGUCCUCUUUGCUUGCAGUGAAGGCAUCCUAGUUGAUAAACAUGAAAUUUGAAAAUUGGAGAUUU
rnacentral:lncRNA from 1 species